CACGUAGGGGGCAAGCGUUGUCCGGAUUCAUUGGGCGUAAAGAGCUCGUAGGCGGCUCGGUAAGUCGGGUGUGAAACCUCUGGGCUCAACCCAGAGACGCCACCCGAUACUGCCAUGGCUAGAGUCCAGCAGGGGAGCGUGGAAUUCCCGGUGUAGCGGUGAAAUGCGCAGAUAUCGGGAGGAACACCAGCGGCGAAGGCGGCGCUCUGGGCUGGUACUGACGCUGAGGAGCGAAAGCGUGGGUAGCGAACAGG
rnacentral:rRNA from 1 species